GAAAAGAAACUAACAAGGAUUCCCCUAGUAACGGCGAGUGAAGCGGGAAGAGCUCACCAUGUGAAUCUGUGUAACCUUCGGGUGCACCGAAUUGUGGUCUGGAGAAGUAUUGUCGGCCGCGUUCCCGGGCCAAGUCUCUUGGAAAAGGGCAGCUGAGAGGGUGAAACUCCCGUUCUUGCCUGGGAAUGUUGCGCUUUGGCAUAUGCUUUCUACGAGUCGAGUUGCUUGGGAUUGCAGCUCAAAUUUGGUGGUAAAUUCCAUCUAAAGCUAAAUAUUGGUGGGA
rnacentral:rRNA from 1 species